CCUACGGGUGGCUGCAGUGGGGAAUUUUUCGCAAUGGGCGCAAGCCUGACGAAGCAACGCCGCGUGGAGGAUGAAGGUCUUCGGAUUGUAAACUCCUGUCGACCGGGACGAAUGCACCCGACCUAAUACGUCGGAGUGUUGCCGGUACCGGUGGAGGAAGCCACGGCUAACUCUGUGCCAGCAGCCGCGGUAAUACCGAGGGGGCAAGCGUUGUUCGGAAUUACUGGAGGCGGAGGUCGCGGAGGCGGCCGAAAGCCCUCGGCUUAACUGAGGAUCUGCACGGGAGACUGCGAGGCUUGAGUUCGGGAGAGGAAAGCGGAAUUCCGGGUGUAGCGGUGAAAUGCGUAGAUAUCCGGAGGAACACCAGUGGCGAAGGCGGCUUUCUGGACCGACACUGACGCUGAGGCGCGAAAGCUAGGGGAGCAAACGGGAUUAGAUACCCGUGUAGUC
rnacentral:rRNA from 1 species